CUAGGGUGAUAAUGAGUAGGCUGAGCAAAGCGUUACAACACGUUUGCCCCAACGCAGAAUUUCCUAAGUUUGGUAAUUUUCCAUUGGAUAUGCCAUCUAACUACCCAACAAUGAGGACAGGGUCAAAUGACUGUGGAUUUUUUGUAAUGAGUUACAUGAAGUCUUAUGAUCACAAUGCAGGUGUCAUAUCUUCUUUCAAUCAACCAGACAAUUCCCGAGACCUACGUGCUCAUGCCCUUCAUCAACUCACAUUCCAUCGCAUCAACAAGGCGUUGCCACUUCCAUUAGAUAUCCAGAGAUUUAUGUUUGCGCGCAAUUAGUGAACUAUGUCAGAACUAAGCAAUGGUGUGGGCAAUGUACCGUACUGUGGUAUUUUGGCCAUUAUUGUCAGUUAACAAUUGUAGGAAGCUUCCUUAUAUGUGCUGUUUCAGAACAAUUGUCAUGCUACUUUGUCUUAGGGGUGUUACCCAGGUUCUUUCUGUGAACUUUAGUUGGCUGGAUACUUAUGGUUAUGUUGCGAAUAUGUGAACA